GGCUUACCUCAUAAUUACACUGAUGUCUCAAAUGAUCGAUCACUUCGCUCUCUUGUUGUAUGGAAACUGAAGCAAUUGCACUAUCCUAUGAGGCAAUGCCAAUCUUAUGUUGAUCAUGAUCUAUGCUAGACUCAUUAGCACAGGAAGGAGCAUACAAUGUCAAAAGGUCCUGGUGCAAGUGUUGCUUGUGUGGCUCCUAAUAUGCGUGGACUAGUAUUUUAAAGGCCCGUCUCUUGAUAAUUAGGUUGGUGGUCUGGUGUUGUUGGUCAUUUGGAAAUGGAAAUGAAAAUUCUAGCCGCUGUCAUAUGAGUGGUUGCUUGAGAAUUAGAUAUGAUGUGGAAGAGAAAUGGUUUUGCUUGAAAAAAGGUUGCUCGAGAAUUAGAUCUGAGGUGGAAGAGAAAAAUGACAUAAUUAACAUGAUUUUGCUUAAGAAAAGGUAUCCAUUUUUUCUCGAUUAUUUAGAAAGUUUAAAUCUUAUGCUGAAAGACCUUGUUUGACAUCAAUAUUUUGAA